AGGGUCUUAAGUUAAUAAAAACUUUGGGUUUUCAAAUCCCAGUAUGCGGUGAGUUUACUGCAGACUCUA
rnacentral:tRNA from 1 species